rnacentral:misc_RNA from 1 species
UCAAACUUGGUCAUUUAGAGGAAGUAAAAGUCGUAACAAGGUUUCCGUAGGUGAACCUGCGGAAGGAUCAUUGUUGAGUAUUUUGAGUAGUUUUGAUAUGCAAGUAUCAUACUGCUCUUACACUCUUUACCCUUUGUUAUUUUUUCUUAGUUGCUUUGGCAGUUGCCUUGUGCUCUGCCAAAGGAUAUAUACUAAACCCUUAUGUUAACCAAUAAUUGGGAUACUUGUAGUCUGAUUAUGUUACUUUAAUAGUAUACAAAACUUUCAACAACGGAUCUCUUGGUUCUGGCAUCGAUGAAGAACGCAGC